GAUGAACGCUGGCGGCGUGCUUAACACAUGCAAGUCGAACGGAAAGGCCCAAGCUUGCUUGGGUACUCGAGUGGCGAACGGGUGAGUAACACGUGGGUGAUCUGCCCUGCUCUUCGGGAUAAGCCUGGGAAACUGGGUCUAAUACCGGAUAGGACGAUGGUUUGGAUGCCAUUGUGGAAAGUUUUUUCGGUGUGGGAUGAGCUCGCGGCCUAUCAGCUUGUUGGUGGGGUAAUGGCCUACCAAGGCGUCGACGGGUAGCCGGCCUGAGAGGGUGUACGGCCACAUUGGGACUGAGAUACGGCCCAGACUCCUACGGGAGGCAGCAGUGGGGAAUAUUGCACAAUGGGCGCAAGCCUGAUGCAGCGACGCCGCGUGGGGGAUGACGGCCUUCGGGUUGUAAACUCCUUUCGCUAGGGACGAAGCGUUUUUGUGACGGUACCUGGAGAAGAAGCACCGGCUAACUACGUG
rnacentral:rRNA from 1 species